CUACGGGCUGCAGCAGUGAGGAAUAUUGCACAAUGGGGGAAACCCUGAUGCAGCAACGCCGCGUGGAGGAUGACGCAUUUCGGUGUGUAAACUCCUUUUAUGAGUCAAGAAAAUGACGGUAGCUCAUGAAUAAGCACCGGCUAACUCCGUGCCAGCAGCCGCGGUAAUGCGGAGGGUGCAAGCGUUACUCGGAAUCACUGGGCGUAAAGGACGCGUAGGCGGGCUUGUAAGUCAGGUGUGAAAUCCUACAGCUUAACUGUAGAACUGCACUUGAAACUACGAGCCUAGAGUAUGGGAGGGGCAGAUGGAAUUAGUGGUGUAGGGGUAAAAUCCGUAGAUAUCACUAGGAAUACCGAAAGCGAAGGCGAUCUGCUGGAACAUUACUGACGCUAAGGCGUGAAAGCGUGGGGAGCAAACGGGAUUAGAUACCCUUGUAGUC
rnacentral:rRNA from 1 species